GAAGGAAUUAGUUAGAAAGGAAUUUAUUCUCUGGAAGCUGGAUCCUGCCAAAGGAUUAUGAAGUGCCUUUUCUCAAGUGCGAUGGCUGUUAUCCUGAAUAUACAUCUCACUGCAGUGCCCAUACUUAAAGAAGAACAAUCUAAAGAUAAAUUUUAAUAUAUAAAAGCACAUAGACUUCCAGAUAAACAUGGCAGCAGUUUAGAAGCAAGACUCUUCCUCUCCUCAGCAUCCACCAAUAUAGACUACCUCAAAAGAUAAAAAAAAAAAAAAACAAAUUCAUCAGAAUGAAGGCACUCUAUAAUAGGGCACAGCAUUGAAGGCACAUGGAAUUUGGGCAUUUCCACACUAUAAGGGGGUGAAAAAACUCCCAACAAAACGCGACUUGAUCUACCCUCCCCCACCCCACCUACCAAGCCAGAGUCAGAGUCAGCACACGCCAGAAUCAGCGAGUGAGAGAGGGGAAACUCUAGAGUGAGUAAGGGGCACCCCUAUGUCCUUGAGAAGUGACUAAGACCACAAAAGACCUACCCCUGAGAGCAGCUAGACCUGAAACCCCAGCAGGCUGAAAAGUGCAGAUCUUGGGAUCGCAUAGGAAGAUAGCAUAGAGUAGGGCAGCAAACAGCAGAAGCUGUGGGGAUUUGAGAGUUAUCUUCAGGCAAAAUCCUUGCUCCUCAAAUCCAUACACAGAAAGCCUGCCCACCUCACCCAGAUUUCUGAAUAAAAGGGAAGGAAAAACC
rnacentral:lncRNA from 1 species